rnacentral:rRNA from 1 species
AGCGAACGCUGGCGGCAGGCCUAACACAUGCAAGUCGAACGAACCUUUCGGGGUUAGUGGCGGACGGGUGAGUAACACGUGGGAACGUGCCUUUAGGUUCGGAAUAACUCAGGGAAACUUGUGCUAAUACCGAAUGUGCCCUUCGGGGGAAAGAUUAAUCGCCUUUAGAGCGGCCCGCGUCUGAUUAGCUAGUUGGUUGAGGUAAUGGCUCACCAAGGCGACGGUCAGUAGCUGGUCUGAGAGGAUGAUCAGCCACAUUGGGACUGAGACACGGCCCAAACUCCUACGGGAGGCAGCAGUGGGGAAUCUUGCGCAAUGGGCGAAAGCCUGACGCAGCCAUGCCGCGUGAAUGAUGAAGGUCUUAGGAUUGUAAAAUUCUUUCACCGGGGACGAUAAUGACGGUACCCGGAGAAGAAGCCCCGGCUAACUUCGUG